GUGCCAGCAGCCGCGGUAAUACGAAGGGGGCGAGCGUUGUUCGGAUUUACUGGGCGUAAAGGGCGCGCAGGCGGCCGAUUUUGUCAGGCGUGAAAGCCCCGGGCUUAACCUGGGAAUUGCGCUUGAAACGGGUUGGCUUGAGAUCGGGAGAGGAGCGUGGAAUUCCCAGUGUAGAGGUGAAAUUCGUAGAUAUUGGGAAGAACACCGGUGGCGAAGGCGGCGCUCUGGACCGAGACUGACGCUGAGGCGCGAAAGCGUGGGGAGCAAACAGGAUUAGAUACCCUGGUAGUCC
rnacentral:rRNA from 1 species